UACAAAGGCAUCAUUAUUUUUCAUAAUUCUUUUACUUGAAAAUCACAACUGUUUUACAACGAGGCUACAAACUCUAACUUCUAUAAUUUAACUAACGCAAGUUACAUGCACUAUGACUGUUCGUAAAAGUUUAGUAUGUUAAAAGUUUCUAUAGUAUGCACAACUACAUGUAUAGUUGAAUUCAUCUGUAGUUGUAAAAAAUCCACAGUCUUUCGCCGAGGUCUGUAGACUGUACUUUCUUCCUUCUCUACAGUUGGUCAAGUAAAAUUGCAUAGCAGAGACAGCGUCUAGUAUAAAGUUCAGUCAAAGUUCAGUCUUUGUUUUCGACGAUUAAAUAGCUUGUCAUUUCAAGCUUUCAUAUUUAUUCCCCGACUUCUGAUAUUGUUGAAGUGAACACGCAAAGUUUAAGCAUCGAAAACAAAGAAAAAUAGUUGUCAGAUUAGACAGGCUUACAAUUAUAUAUUUUUUUCCCGAUCCCAGCAGCUUUUGAAUUUUUGUUUUCCAUACCCCCAAUCCAAACUAUAUAAUUAUUUAAUUUGCGAUUCAAGGUAGAUGUUUUCAGUUUCGAUUUCAUAACAACCAGAAGAUUAAGGAACUAUUGCAUUCGAAAAAUUGAUAAACACAAUAUAAGCUACUCCCAUCCAAUUAUAUUGCUUAUUUAAACGCAUAUUUGUUGGGAUAUUUUGACAAAUAAUCCAAAUACAAACUGAGGAUCUGGUAUAAGCAGUUGUUAUUUCACGUCGCGUUAUGUUUCAAGUUCUUCCAAAUAAAUGGAUGUCAAUCGUCUUUUAAUGUCGAAGCUACAAAGCUUCUUGGAAUAUAUUCCUGGCGUUUCUUCUUCAUCAUCAUCAUUUUUCAUCAUCAUCAUCAAUGUUCGUUGUUUGUCAUCGUCUCUACUUCAUGCAAAUUUAUCAUUUCUCACUUCUGUUUCAAACUCGGUAGCAAGAAAUAUCUAUUCCUCUAUGACCAAUACCGUAACCCUUUUACUGUCGAAUUUUUACUUAGAAUUGUUGUUCGUCUGUGAUUAUGUUCAAUAUAUGUUGUUGAUCUUAUUCUUAUUUGAACUGUUUAGCAGAAUCUGAAACCGAAUAAAAGCCAUACAGAAAGCUAAACUGGUGGCAAUUCAACUUCGUAUGGCAAUUAUCUGUUCAAUAACAUUGUCUGUGUAGUUUAUUGUAACUUGCUGAUGCAAUCUCCAGAUAUUCAAUAACAAAGUUAACGUAAUUAUGUUUUCACCUCUGCUGUAGUUGAUUCAAUCAGUUUUCUUUCGUUUCCCACACGUUGUGAUCAUUUUCUACUCAUGAAAAAAAUUUUCUCUCAAAACUAUCCAUCUCUUCUUCCUAGUACUUCUUUUGUUUUCUUGCUGUUAUUCUUGUUUUCCUGUUCUGAGCAAGACUUUCCUGCCACUGUUGGUAGCUUGGCUCUUCUUUGCAAAAUUUGGUGUUGUUGGGUGUUCAUUGUAAAUGUCAAGUUGUAGUUGGUUUUUAGCUAAUGCUUUUGGAUUUCUCGUCUUCGCCUUUCACGUAACAUAUCAGUUAUAUGUGAUACACAACCUCACACAAAAAAUUGAUGGCAAUACAGUAGUUGUUUUUGACAAUUAGGCACAGUCACUAAUUCAGCAUCAGAAACGUCACCAACUGAACAAAGCCUGCCAAAUAUGAUAUUUUAUAAUUAUACACAAUGAAUCAUCAUGUAACAUUAUAAAAUUUGUCAGUUGUUAUCGUUUCUGAUAUUGAAUUAGUAACUGCGCCUAAAUGUCAAAAACAAAUAUUGCUAUCAACCUUUUUGUGCAAGGUGGUUGAUUCAGUUGUAGAUAUGGUUUCUGUCUUGUUAUGUUUUUUCUUGUUGCUUCAUUUCCAUUGCUUUCAAAAUAAACAAUGCUGCUGUUGUGUUGUUGUUGCUGAUUGCUGUUGUUGUUGAUUUGCUGUUGUUUUACUAUUUUGACAUCUUGUCAAUUCUUUGUUGUUUUUAUACUGUACUCUGUAGUUCAAGUUCUUGUUAUUGUUGUUGAUGGGACCACUUCAACAUUCUGGUUUAUGACAGGUAGUUCCCAAAUUGUGUCGUUGAUUAGUUUGUUAAUGUCAUGUCCAGUGUUAUGGCAGACUUUAACCAGUCUGCCACUUGAUGGCAGACUUUCACCAGUCUGCCACUUGACUCGGGUCCGAGGGGUCGUCAAGCCCUAACCAUUGCAUGGUCACCCUGCGGGAUAAUCAAAUGUUGCCAUUAUUGUGAAUAUAAUCAUGAUUUAGUUAAUCUUUCACCAUGUUUACCAGGAUAAGGAUGUGAAUCCAAAGUUUUGGCUGAUUGUCAACAUAGUUGUCCAGGCUUGUUGUAACAGAUGAAGGUGCAGUGUUGUAUUCAAGGUAAUUUGAAAUGAAUUUGUUUUUUAUGUCAUUUGGGAAACAAAUGUAGGCUGACAUAGCGUGUUGGGGACAUUAACCUCAUCUUGACACGAGCAGUACAGCCAAUUGACAAGGAAAGCCAUUUGCAGUUACUACCAAUAAGGUAAGCAGGAUCACAUCAUAGUGGCUGCAAAGGUGAAAUUAAAAUCUAGUCAGGCUCACUAUGCCAGAGUGCUGGUUGGUUAAACAUUUUCUUGACAUAAGCAGUACUACCAAAUGAUAAGAAAAGCAAGCACGCUCACAUCGUAGUGGUUGAUGUGGUGAUAAGAGUAUCAUUACAUACAUUGUAUCUUGUUGCUCUACUUCUAUGUCUUUUAACUUGUCCCAUGUUUAGGAUAAUCAUGUAAUGAAAGUGUUGGUUUCUGACAACACUUUAGACAGACUCAAGCAAGAAAUGUUGCAGUGACUUCACUGACUUCCACAAUGGACAGAUAACCUACAACAUAUUGAAAUAUUUUUGGGAUUAAAC
rnacentral:lncRNA from 1 species